rnacentral:rRNA from 1 species
AGCGAACGCUGGCGGCAGGCUUAACACAUGCAAGUCGAACGGGAAUCUUCGGAUGUCUGCGGCAGACGGGUGAGCAACACGGGGGUACGUACCCUUCGGUCCGGACCAACUCUGGGAAACUGGGGCUAAUACCGGAUACGCCCAUAUGGGGAAAGGUUGACUGCCGUAGGAGCGGGGCGCGUCUGAUGAACGAGCUGGCGGGGUAACGGCGUAACAAGGCGGGGAUCAGUAGCUGGGCUGUGAGGGUGGUCAGCCACGCUGGGGCGGGGACACGGCCCAGACUCCUACGCAAGGCAGGAGAGGGGGAUAUUGGACAGUGGGGGCAAGCCUGAACCAGCCAUGCCGGGUAAGUGAUGAAGGCCGUAGGGAAGUGAAUCUCUUUUGUCCGGAGCGAUAAUGACGGUACCGGAAGAAUAAGCCCCGGCUAACUACGUG